rnacentral:rRNA from 1 species
AACGAGACCUUAACCUGCUAAAUAGCCAGGUUGACUUUUGUCGGCCGCCGGCUUCUUAGAGGGACUUUUGGCUCAAGCCAAUGGAAGUACGAGGCAAUAACAGGUCUGUGAUGCCCUUAGAUGUUCUGGGCCGCACGCGCGCUACACUGACAGAGCCAGCGAGUACAUCACCUUGGCCGAAAGGUCUGGGUAAUCUUGUGAAACUC